GCGCCCGUAGCUCAGGUGGAUUCAGAGCGGCCGGCUUCUAACCGGCGGGUCGGAGGUUCAAGUCCUUCCGGGCGCACCA
rnacentral:tRNA from 1 species